rnacentral:rRNA from 1 species
GUCCGCCUUCCUGGAGAAUACCAUGGCUGGGAGCUGGUUUAAACCCCUGUCCACACUAGCCCUUUUCACAAACAAAGUUAAAAGGAAAGACCAAGGAUGAAGAUUGUUCCCCUGGAUAUUAUAAAAUCUGCAUCACAGGAAAGAAAACCAUUUCCCAAAUAGUGGGUGAACGAACCUUUGAAAUACUUACCAUUAGUUGUAAGAAAUCCAACACAAGGAAAGACCAGGGAAGAGGAAUGUCCCCCUGGCAAUAGAAGAACCACGUUAUAGGGAAGAUAAGCACUUCCCUGAGAGUGGCAGAACCGACAAGUGAGAGAAUCUUACUCGUCGUUUUGUAUAAACUUUAAACUGAGCAUGUUUUGGGCAUUUUUCCUUUUAACAUUGGAACAUUGCACAAAGGAGUUGGGAAAGGCUGCAUACAAGAACCCGAGGAAUGUGCUAUUUUCUCCCUAUAGCAGAUUUUGUAGUAUGUCGAGUGUGAGAGUCAUAAUACGUUUCGAACACAAGACAGUGAACUUUUAUUUAAAUAUCCUGACAAAGUCUGUCUCUGUACUUAGUUUUGUUGAGGAAGGGAAACCCCUCAUAGAGUUAGGGCUAGUGAGGCAUUUUUCCAAUCCUUUUUAUUAUUUAAUUAAAACCUUUGUAAAACAACCCAACACAGUGUCUGUCUCUUCACCCUGACCCCUCACACCCCACUGACCUGUGCCUCAACCCCCAAACCCAAGGCUGCUCCGCAAGACCGCCCUCCUCCCAGUACCUGCACUGACCUGUGCCCCAACCCCCUAACCCAAGACUGCACGCACACGUCUGCCCCUCCUCCUACUACCCCCACUGACCUGUGUCCCAACCCCCAAACAAAGUCCACACUCACAAGUCCACCCUUCUCCCUGGACCCCCACUGAGCUUUGUCCCAAGUCCCCAACCGAAGGCAGCCCCUGCAAGCCUGUCCUCCUCCCAGUACACCCACUGACCUGUGCACCAACCCCCACCCAAGGCAGCACACGCAGGUGCACCCUCCUCCCAGUACCCCAACGAAUUGUGCCCAUCCCCCAACCCCAUACCUGCAAGUCUGCCCUCUUCCCAGUACCCCAACUGACCUGUGGCCAGGCAGCACCUACAAAUCCACACAUCUCCUCAGUAACCCACUGACCUUUGCCCCAACCCAAGGCAGCAACCGCAAGUUUACCCUCCUCCCAUUACCCCCACUGACCUGUGCCCCAACCAAGGCCGCUCACUUGCACUAUCACUAUCACUUAGUCUGAGGCCUCCUCCACACCGGGCAGAGUUCUAUUUUCUUUGUGAAGGGCAGAGCACACUGGAAUGGGUUAGCCCUGAGAAAGGCACCCGAAACCUGCCAUUGGAAAGUGUUGCGGCUCUGGUGGCAUCAGGUGAGCUGGUCCUUGUCUAUCCAGGGGAAAUGGUGUAAAUCUACUACCAGGCUGCACCCAUAUUGCCGUAAGUCUCCAGGGUGAACAGUCUGCGGCAUGUUGGAACAGUGUAGGUAAGGGAAGUCAGCAAGUCAUAUCUGUCACUCUGGGAUGAGAAUUGGCUGAAGGACUGUGUGGGUCAUGCUGGUGAAGGAAGCAGUGCUGGGUGCACAAUAUGGCUGGACAAGGUAUCUCCCAACCCCCCCGGGUGCCCGCCAACUCUGGAUACAAUCUGGGUCCUUCCUGUGGAUCACCCCAGCUGGGGUGGUGGUCUCUCUCUGUUCCCCUCUCGGGGUUCGUGGCUGGCAUUCUGCCUUCAGCCGACACCUAGCAGAUGACCUAGAACUGGAGCAGACAGGAGGAAUCUGAUGGUUUAAUUACAACAAGACAUCAGAAGAGCCUGCAGCGGGUGUUGAUACCAAGGGAUUUCUGCCCAGUGCUCUGAAUGAUAAAGUGAAGAAAUUCAAUGAAGAGCAGUUAAACAGGGGGAGUAACUGACUCUCUUAAGGUGGCCAAAUGCACCCUCAUCUAAUUAGUGGCACGUAUGUGGAUGAAGGGGAUUCCCACUGUCCCUAUCUACUACCUAGCAAAACCACAGACAAGGUAUUGGUAUUGGCAGAAUCAGCUAGGAUAGGAGACAUGUUGAGAUGAAUGCUAGUCUGGCACGGUGAAGAGACGUGAGAGGUGUUUGAUUAGUGGGAGUCCCUCAGGCUGGCGGUGAAAUACUGCCACUGUUAUAAUAUUUUCACUUAUCCAAUGAGGUGGAGGGCGAGCUCUGUGUAGCUGUUGCUUCUGUCUCAAAGCACCCCGCUCCAUCCAGGCGCGACUGGCACCAGGGACAUUGGCAGGUGGGGAGCUUGACUGGGGCAGUACACCUGGCAAUUGAUAGCGCAGAUCAGAUGUCCUAAAGCAAGCUCAAGGAGGGCAGCAACCUCCUGUGGAGCAUACGGGCAAAAGCUUGCUGGAUUUCGAUUUUGAGUAUGAAUACAGACUGUGAAAGCAGGGCCUCACAAUCCUUCUGAGUUUUGGUCUUUCAAGCAGGAGGUGUCAGAAAAUUGCCACAGGGAUAAAUAACUGUCUUGUGGUGGCCAAUUGUUCAUAGCAACAUCACCUUUUGAUGCUUCCAUGUCGGCUAUUCUUAUCAUUGUGAAGCAGAAUUCACUAUAUGUUGGAUUGUUCACCCACUAAUUGGGAACGUGAAUUGUGUUUAGACCGUUGUGUCACAGGUUGGUUUUACCCUACUGAUGAUGUGUUGCUGCAAUAGUAAUCCUUCUCAGUACAAAAAGGAACGCACAUGCAUGUGCUUGGCUGAGGAGCAAUUGGAGUCAAGCUGCCAUCUUUGGGAUUAUGACUGAAUUCCUCAAAGUUAGAAUCCCAACUAAACCAUAAUGGUACAGCAGCACUGUGGAGCCUCUUUUGGCCUAGAAUAGCCAGCCUCUGGGCCGGUGCAUAUAGCCCCUCAUCUCAGGACAUGAAUGUGAACAGAAGGGAGCAACCUCUGUCACCCGU